UUAAACUUUUAAAAACUUUAUAUUACAUAAAGCCAAAAUGAAACUAAAUACAUGUUAGCCAACUUCAUUCACAAACAGUAGUCAAAAUAUAUACACUUAAAAAGAAAAAAGCUACAAAUGAGGUUCUUUUCUCUAAAAUGUGUUUUAUCAUCAUUUGCAAAUGAAUUGCAGGUGAUCUAAAAAAUAAGCUAAUUAGGGAGGGAACUCCAAAACACAUUUAAGCGGUUUGAGUUGGUGGAGAAAUGCUAGCUGAAAGAAGAGACAUCUGUCAAAACAAUUCUGGUUUUUGUUUUGUUUUGCAGACUCAAUGCUUUCACGGACAUAUACACAUUUACAAUCAUCUGAAGGUGAAACUCAGCCAUAAUGAAAAAAUAGGAACAAUGCCUUUUUCUGUGUAAACUGUGUCAAAAAUUCUAGCAAGUGGACUCAGGG
rnacentral:lncRNA from 1 species